UGGGGAAUAUUGCACAAUGGGCGCAAGCCUGAUGCAGCAACGCCGCGUGAGGGACGACGGCCUUCGGGUUGUAAACCUCUUUUAGUAGGGAAGAGGCGAAAGUGACGGUACCUGCAGAAAAAGCACCGGCUAACUACGUGCCAGCAGCCGCGGUAAUACGUAGGGUGCGAGCGUUGUCCGGAAUUAUUGGGCGUAAAGAGCUCGUAGGCGGUCUGUCGCGUCUGCUGUGAAAACCCGAGGCUCAACCUCGGGCCUGCAGUGGGUACGGGCAGACUAGAGUGCGGUAGGGGAGAAUGGAAUUCCUGGUGUAGCGGUGGAAUGCGCAGAUAUCAGGAGGAACACCGAUGGCGAAGGCAGUUCUCUGGGCCGUAACUGACGCUGAGGAGCGAAAGCGUGGGGAGCGAACAGGAUUAGAUACCCUGGUAGUCCACGCCGUAAACGUUGGGCGCUAGAUGUGGGGACCAUUCCACGGUUUCCGUGUCGCAGCUAACGCAUUAAGCGCCCCGCCUGGGGAGUACGGCCGCAAGGCUAAAACUCAAAGGAAUUGACGGGGUCAUACUGUUCCU
rnacentral:rRNA from 1 species